AUGCAAGUUGUGGUGGGUCUCCUAAAGCUUUUUGGGCAGGUCACUGGAUUAAGGGUGAACUUGGACAAAUGUGUUGCCUUUCCGAUCAGGUGUGACAACCUUCCUAUCCAGGAAAUCUUGGCCCCUUUUGGUGGGACUCUUGGCUCCUUCCCGUGCAAAUACCUAGGACUGCCUCUUACCUUUAAAGGCCUGAGAAGAAUUGAUUGGCAACCGCUAUUGGAUAGAUUUGGCUCCAGACUAAAACCGUGGAAAGGCAAGCUCAUGUCUAGGAUGGGGAGACUAGAGUUGGUCAACGCCGUCCUAACCGCCCUCACUACAUAUCUUCUCACCAUUCCCCCCCCCCUCCCAAAUGGUUGCUCAAGAAGAUAG
rnacentral:rRNA from 1 species